AUCUGGAUAGCGCUGCACGCCACUGCUUCUCUUUCCCCGCGAGUGUCCGCUCCGUACACCGGCGACUACGAUCCUGUUUCUGGUGAAAGGGAGUGUCGCAUUCCCCAUCAGCACUAUUACUGACGGCCGUCGCGUGGUGUUCCCGACGUGUGCUACCAUCUCCAGUACACCCAAUCCUCAACGUGUCGACGAUCCACGCAGGUGAUUUGGAUAGCGUGCAUAUUUUGUCACCAACAGGACCAAUACAUCUGGGACUAAUACAUCUGCUAUUAUCGAUGGACUACACACUUCUACCAGAUUUAACAACGUAUAAAAAACAUGCGAUAAUCCAGGUCCAUGUCUCAAGAAAAUGGUCUUUCCAUGGCGCCACUGAAAAUGGUCCCUUGCAGCACAUCGACAUGGUCCUAUCAGAUUGC